CACCGUACUCUGCUACCGUCGUCAAGCCAUUAAGGCACGUGACCUCCGCAGGCCUUCGGCACACCCGAUCAUUAAUGCGUGUGACCCCUGCGGACCUCCAGUGCACUCAACCAUUAAUGAACACGGCUCAAGAUGAUCUCCGGAUCACUGGACCAUCAAAGCGUAUGGCUCUCCCUGAUCACCGGUUCACUCAGCAAUUAAUGCACUUGCUAUCUACAAACCCCAGGCCCACCACGGCCGGCGGUUGAACCACUCCAACAGGUCCGAUCAACCAUGACAAUUCGCUGACUCCGGUCCGAUCCGGUCUCAUUCUCCACAACGCC
rnacentral:lncRNA from 1 species